UCUGUAGCAAGGUUAACCGUAUAGGGGAGCCGAAGGGAAACCGAGUCUUAACUGGGCGUUAAGUUGCAGGGUAUAGACCCGAAACCCGGUGAUCUAGCCAUGGGCAGGUUGAAGGUUGGGUAACACUAACUGGAGGACCGAACCGACUAAUGUUGAAAAAUUAGCGGAUGACCUGUGGCUGGGGGUGAAAGGCCAAUCAAACCGGGAGAUAGCUGGUUCUCCCCGAAAGCUAUUUAGGUAGCGCCUCGUGAAUUCAUCUCCGGGGGUAGAGCACUGUUUCGGCUAGGGGGCCAUCCCGGCUUACCAACCCGAUGCAAACUGCGAAUACCGGAGAAUGUUAUCACGGGAGACACACGGCGGGUGCUAACGUCCGUCGUGAAGAGGGAAACAACCCAGACCGCCAGCUAAGGUCCCAAAGUCAUGGUUAAGUGGGAAACGAUGUGGGAAGGCCCAGACAGCCAGGAUGUUGGCUUAGAAGCAGCCAUCAUUUAAAGAAAGCGUAAUAGCUCACUGGUCGAGUCGGCCUGCGCGGAAGAUGUAACGGGGCUAAACCAUG
rnacentral:rRNA from 1 species